AAUAACCAAAUAUAACACUCGGACUAAGGGUCAAAUUGGUAAUUUUUCUUACAUCCCUAGGGGGGCCCAGGUAUCAUAUACACCACCAAAAUAAAGAGCCUUGAGUACUACAAGAAAAGCACCUAGACCUAACAAAAUUAGGUGAAUGCCCAAAAUUGUAGUCAUUCUAUUUCUAUCUUUCCA
rnacentral:antisense_RNA from 16 species